rnacentral:rRNA from 1 species
CCUACGGGAGGCAGCAGUGAGGAAUAUUGGUCAAUGGGCGCGAGCCUGAACCAGCCAAGUAGCGUGAAGGAUGACUGCCCUACGGGUUGUAAACUUCUUUUAUAAAGGAAUAAAGUGAGGCACGUGUGCCUUUUUGUAUGUACUUUAUGAAUAAGGAUCGGCUAACUCCGUGCCAGCAGCCGCGGUAAUACGGAGGAUCCGAGCGUUAUCCGGAUUUAUUGGGUUUAAAGGGUGCGUAGGCGGCCUUUUAAGUCAGCGGUGAAAGUCUGUGGCUCAACCAUAGAAUUGCCGUUGAAACUGGGAGGCUUGAGUAUGUUUGAGGUAGGCGGAAUUCGUGGUGUAGCGGUGAAAUGCUUAGAUAUCACGAAGAACUCCGAUUGCGAAGGCAGCUUACUAAACUGCCACUGACAUUGAUGCUCGAAAGUGUGGGUAUCAAACAGGAUUAGAUACCUUGUAGUC